UCCACAAAACCCUAACCAACAACAACACCAAUUCCAAUUCCAAUCUAUCUAUCAAAUAGUACGAAAAAACUCACCACCAAAAGUCUUUCUCCCCUUUUCCCCUCUAUUUUUCACUCUUUUUUCCUCCUUCAUUAUACUCUCUUUUGCUGUCUAACAUCAGCGAAGGUUCUCGUUUUUAUCUUUGUGCUUUAAUUUGGGCGUAUGAUUGAAUUUUUGACAGGGUGCUAUUAGAGGGCUGUGAUCUAGUGUUUCAGAUGUGUUCUACGACUUGAUUGUAACAUUUGUACUUGAGUGAGAUUUUCUGGAGAUAAAUAAGCUUUAGCUGAUUUUGGAACCAUGCCAGUUUCAGGGAACGAAGAGCCUGGGGUUCUUGCCCGGCAGCCCAGUAACUCGUCAUCAGGUAUCCCUAUUAAGAAGAGGUGGUACUCUAUGGUCCAGUCUCCUUCACCUACUCGUGCUGAGCCAUCUUCUUUGUCUAACGAAAGUGAAUCCAAGACCAAAGAUUCUUGCCUGGUCCAGGUCUCGACCUUGAGUUCUUGUGAUAGUGCAAGUAAAUCUGAUACUAUCAAGAAUACUCUUCUAGAGGUAAAAAAGGAAAAUCCUUCUGGUGCAAAUGUUGACUCUCCGCCUACUUUGCAACCAUUUUUAACCAUAUCUCGGGAAACAAACCCUGAUACUAGCUCUGGUCCUUCGGGAAAUGUAGAUAAUCAAGUGAAACCAGCUUCUGCCAAAAAAUUAGCUAGCCAGAUAGUGAAUGUCAAGAAGGAAGUUGUUGCCAAACAAGGGGAAAGCCAAUGUAAACUUGAACUUCCUGCUUAUUCUGGACAUGUUGAACUGUCAUUAGGCCCAAAGGAACCACAUGUUUCUUCUUUGGUUGAUCCAACUAGGGAGCGGAGUUGCCUGAUGAGUGGAACUGUAAAUCCUUCAUUGCUUUCUCUGUCUUUGAAUAAAGGGAAGGACAUUUCCCAGGACAAAAGUUGCAAGAAUGGAUUGAGUAACAAUGAUUCUGAUGAUACUGCACACACUAAUAGAUCUAACUGGGAUCUGAAUACUCCCAUGGACUCAUGGGAGGGUUCUGGUGACGAUGUUCCUGUUCAAGAUGCUAGUCAUAUUGAUCUGUUACAUAAGACUUCUAGUUCACUAGACAGAAAGCCUUCUAUUAGUUCUACUUCUGUUGUUGGUGCUAAUGUUGAUAAAGGGAAACAAGUUGUUGGAGCUAGUGAGCAGGAAUUUAAUUUUCCCAUCUCAUCAAUACAGCCUAGCCUACCAUACAAGUCUGCCGAUGUGCUUCCUCUUAGUCUUGGUAGUACUUUACGAGGGUUUGACUCCCCAAUACUGCAGUCAUUGGCUAAAGUGGACUCUAGCAGGGUUAGUCCGAACUCGAGUUUGCUGAAAAAUCUGGCAUUGAAUAGUAACAUGAAUUCCCCCACUCGCAAAACUGUUAAGUCUGAACCUGUUGAGGAAGCCUUGGUACAAGCCAAUGCUGGAACUGCAUGUCGUCCAGCUGGAACAUUGGAUGUUAAUGUAGUAAAACCUGAAGUUGUGAGGCAGAAUCUGCAACCUACUGAGGUGUCGACUAAGGGUCCUCAGAAAUUACUUGAGCAAAAACCAGUGAAAUUCGAAGCACUCCAGGAGGUUAGUCAGGAAAUAUCCAUGACGUCAGAUGUGAUUGCACACCAAUCAGUUGGAAGGGUUUUACAGCUUCAGGAGAGUUCUUCUUCAUCUUCGUCUACACUGCCAAUGCCUUUGACCCCUCAAAAGGGAUGCACUUCUAGAUUGUCUACCUGUUCAGAUUUGUCUGUGAUGAGUGGGGACUUGUCUACUCAAUCUGAGUACUCUGUUCAUACUGAGGAAGCUAAUAGAAAUAAAAAUGCUCUAGAUCAGGCAAAUGCUGAUAUUGCUGCUAAACAUGCAAACUUUGACCUCAAAGAAUCAAAUGUGUCCAGUGGUAAAGUGGAGCCAUCUGUGUUGGAGGGCAUCAAUGUCGAAGAUACACGAGAGCCACAUCAGUUGGUUGCAAGUGGUGUGGGAUCGGCAAAUGAUGAGGAAAAGAUAAGUAUAUCAGCUGGUACAGAAGAAGAAUGUUAUGGUUCUGAUUACGAAUCUGAUGGCAAUCAUGCUUUUGCGGGACAUGUUGAUGCUGAGAGUGUGGGGUGUGGCAGAGAGGAUGAGGAAUAUGAAGAAGGUGAGGUCCGAGAGCCAAUGAUGCAGUCAAUUGCAGAAGACCCAAUUGCUGAGGGGAUGGAUUCGGAAAAAAAUAGCAAAAAUGCUCACUCUGCUGGCUCUUCUGGGGUUGAGGAAUCUCACUGCUUCAAUUAUGAUGAAAAAGAUAACAUGUUGCCAGUUCAUACUGAGACUAAUGAUGACAUUGUGAAAGGUUGUGAUGAGAAAGCUGACAAAAUUGAUCAUAAAGACGGUAAUUUGCAGAGUCCAUUAUUGGAUAAAGAGGAAACAACAGGAGCUGAUGAGCAGAGGCCUAUUGGUGCUAUUCAACAAGGACCAGUUGAUCAAUCAGGAAUAGCAGAUCUGCAGGAGGGAUGUGAAAAGGAUGUCUUAUGUGACGAAGUGCCUGCUGGAAGCAGUGGGUCUGGCAGAAAUGUUGGCGAGACUAAUAACGAGAAUAUUGGAGGAUCUGAUAUGGCACCAACAGUUGAUUCAUCUUUGCAGAAUGCUGAAACAUCUAUUAAUGCUAACUCUAAUAAAGAUUUGUCAAAUGUUGGAAGCAAGAGCCGGAUUAUCAAUUUACCUCGUGCAUCUAAUGUGACAUCUCCUAGUAAUGUCAGAACUAUUACAGGUAGGUCACUGCCUUCAAGAAGUGGAAGAGAAAGGUAUUCUGAUAUAGAGGAGGAGAAAUUCCAUCUACGAAAGAAUAGAGAUGAAACUUAUGCUGAUGGUCCUAAAUUUGUCCGGCAUAGGAAUGAGGACCGGUCAUUUUGCAGCUCACGGGGGAACUUCAUGCGUGGAAGAGGGAGGGGUUCGGGCCGGUUUGAUAGUUCGCGUAGUGAUUGGGAUUCUGGACGUGAUUUUGAAAGCUAUGGAGGUGGUACUGAUUAUCGUUUUAGACGUAAACGUACUGCUGCUGUUGGGGAAUCUGAAAUUGAGCGUAAUGACUAUGAUAGACUCGAUGGUGCUGCUUUUGUUAGUAAUAGGAGGAGGAAGCCAUUAAAUGAUUCCUUCUCUUCAUUUCGGCAUCCACCUGCACGGCGGCUGUCCCCCAAUGGAAGAGAAGAUGCUGCCAUGAUGGGUAUUCAAAUGCUUCGUAGAGCUCCUAGGAAUAUCAGCCCAAGUAGAUGCACUGGUGAAGAUGGCUCUGAUGGACCAGAUGGUCAUUUCAUUCGGGGUAAUACAAAGUUUACCACGAUGCAGAGAAGAGGUUUCCCUCGAAUGCGGUCUAAAUCUCCUGCUAGAUCCCGUACACGUCCCCCUGGCCCUUGGUCAUCUCCUCGGAGGAGACCGGCCGAAGGAUUCAAUGGUCUUCCAGAUUCAUCUCAGCACAGGUCUCCAGCUAUGUACAGGGAAGAUAGGAUGAGGUCUUCCCCACGAACUUCUUUUACCGAUGAGAUGGUUCCUCGAAGGCGUGACUCUCCAUCGUAUACUGCUCGGCGUCUGAAUGAUAUGAGGGAUGUGGACGCUGGACAGGAGCAUGGGCAUCCAAGGUCUCUUUCUAUCAGAAGAAGUCCACCUGAUCGGGUAUUUACUAGAAGAAACAAUAGGAGACUUGAGAUGUUAGAUCGUCGGGAGAGGGCUGAUGGUGAUGACUACUUUGAUGGGCCGAUACACACUGGCAGGUUUCCUGAGCUUCGUAGUGGUGGAAGUACUGAUGAGAGAAGGAAGUAUGGUGAGAGGCGAGGAGGACCUGCUCGUUCUUUUCGUCCUUAUAACAGCGAAAAUGACACUUUCCGUUUCAACCAAGAUGGUGGCCCUAGGCCUUUUAGGUUCUAUCCAGUAGCAGAUGAAGAAUUUGUUGAAAGAAAUAACACUAGGGAAAGAGAAUUUGAUGCAAAUAUCAAGGAUCGACCUUUACCUAGACGAAUGAGAAAUGUCGAGGAGCAAGAAGGUAAUUUUAGACAGAGUGGGCAAGUUUGGCAUGAAGAGGGAUUUGAUGUCUCUAGAUUGAAAAGAAGAAGGUUUUGAUUUUAUGGCUCACUGAACCUGGAAUAUCAGCAGCUGUGCGGUGGGAAACACUGUUUCUGCAUCGCUCAGAUCCUGUAAAAGAAUUCUUGGUCCUUACAGGUACAGGUAAUUUGCUGCGUGUAAUGAGGAACAGAGAUCGACUUUUGAUUGCAUCUGGACGAAUGAGAAAUGUUGAAGUAUAAGAAGGUGGCUCUAGAUACAGUGGAGUCUUGCCUGAAGAGGAAAAGAAAUCUUGUUGCUAGUAAAGCCGUCCAAGGAACGUGCUUUUUACCUUUGCUGCCUGCAAUUUGUUCUUUUGGAGGAGAAAACUACUUGUUUAAGAUGCUCUAGUCUGCGCUGACCUGAAAACUAGUUUAUGGUGCUACUACUAUGCCAGCUUGAACACUACUAGUUUAUGGUGCUACGCUUGGCCUGAACACAACUAGUUUAAGGUGCUAGUAUGCUGGCUACUACUACUAGUUUAAGUUGCUAAUGUGCUGGCUUUGUAAAGCUUCUGGGGUAAAUGACACUUGAGUUUUGUGGGUUUACAAGUGUUUAACCAGCACUGGAUUCUCUGAUUUCCAAGGUGAAUUAUGCAGAUUAAGUAUUGACAUAUCAAUAACACCAUCUAUGAGACCAAAUAUCAUUGAGAUGGAUGUGCAUCCUACAUUUAGAUUUCUUGAGAUGUCGUCCCUGUCCUCUUUUUAACUUCUUUUUGGUUUAACUAUUCGUAUCUGAAGCCACCGGCUCAAUUAAUCCUGAUUUGCGCGUGGUUUACAAGUUAGAGAAACUGAUUGAUGAUGGAAAAUUGUCCAAGGUGAAUUAUGCAGGUUUAAGGCAUAUGGUAUAACAAUAGCACCAUCUAUGAGACCAAAUAUCAUUGAUAUGGAUGUGCUUCCUACAGCUUUUUCAUCUCCUGAGACGUCAUCCAUUUCCCUCUUUUAACCUUUUUUGGUUUAACUAUUUGGCAUUUGAAGCCACUGGCUCAACUGCUACGGAUUUGCUCCGUCGACUCAUUGAAGGGGUAAAUUACUAUUCA